UACAGAGGUCCCAAGCGUUGUUCGGAUUCACUGGGCGUAAAGGGUGCGUAGGCGGUCGGGUAAGUCUGAUGUGAAAUCUCUGGGCUCAACCCAGAAAUGGCAUUGGAUACUAUUCGGCUUGAGGUCUGGAGGGGGGACUGGAAUUCCGCGUGUAGCAGUGAAAUGCGUAGAUAUGCGGAGGAACACCGAUGGCGAAGGCAAUCCCCUGGGCCUGCACUGACGCUCAUGCACAAAAGCGUGGGGAGCAAACAGG
rnacentral:rRNA from 1 species